rnacentral:lncRNA from 1 species
GACGAGACAGUCGCCGCAGCGGAUACAACACCUCGGUAAGAGUGCCUGGGCGGGCGGCCAGUUACCACAGAAGGGAUGCUGCGCAAGAGCAAGGGCCUGCUAAAAAACAUAGACAGCUGCUCAAGAGACAAGUGGUGGAC